rnacentral:rRNA from 1 species
AGCCUCCCGUAGGAGUCUGGGCAGUGUCUCAGACUCCUACGGGAGGCUGCAGUCGAGGAUCAUUCGCAAUGCGCGAAAGCGUGACGAUGCGACGCUGCGUGGAGGAUGAAGGCCCUUGGGUCGUAAACUCCUGUCAUUCGGGAAAAAUACUCUCAAGGGUAAUAUGCUUGGGAAUUGAUGGUACCGAAAGAGGAAGCCACGGCUAACUCUGUGCCAGCAGCCGCGGUAAUACAGAGGUGGCAAGCGUUGUUCGGAUUUACUGGGCGUAAAGGGUGCGUAGGUGGCAAUGUAUGUCGGAUGUGAAAUCCCACGGCUCAACCGUGGAACUGCAUUCGAAACUGCAUAGCUAGAGUGUAGGAGGGGAGAGCGGAAUUCUUGGUGUAGCGGUGAAAUGCGUUGAUAUCAAGAAGAACACCGGUGGCGAAGGCGGCUCUCUGGAAUACUACUGACACUGAUGCACGAAAGCUGGGGGAGCAAACAGGAUUAGAUACCCUGGUAGUCCCAGCCGUAAACGGUGUGAACUUGGUGUAGGGGGUAUUGACCCCCCCUGUGCCGGAGCUAACGCGUUAAGUUCACCGCCUGGGGAGUACGGCCGCAAGGCUAAAACUCAAAGAAAUUGACGGGGGCCCGCACAAGCGGAGGAGCAUGUGGCUUAAUUCGAUGCAACGCGAAGAACCUUACCAGGGCUUGACAUGGCGACCCUUCGGGGGUGGAAGUGAAAGCUUCCUUUACGAUCACAGGUGCUGCAUGGCUGUCGUCAGUUCGUGCCGUGAGGUGUUUGGUUAAGUCCAGCAACGAACGCAACCCCUGUGUUUAGUUGCCACUUCGACUUCGGUCGGAAGCACUCUAAACAGACUGCCCGUACAAGCGGGAGGAAGGUGGGGAUGACGUCAAGUCAGUAUGGCCCUUACGCCCUGGGCUGCACACGUGCUACAAUGGUCGGUACAAAGGGAUGCAAUAUCGCAAGGUGGAGCUAAUCCUCAAAGCCGGCCCCAGUUCGGAUUGGAGUCUGCAACUCGACUCCAUGAAGUUGGAUUCGCUAGUAACGGCGUAUCAGCUACGACGCCGUGAAUACGUUCCCGGGCCUUGUACACACCGCCCGUCACAUCAUGAAAGCCGUCUGCACCCGAAGUCGCUGAGCCAACCCGCAAGGGAGGCAGGUGCCGAAGGUGUGGGUGGUGAUUGGGAUGAAGUCGUAACAAGGUA